ACAAACCACAAAUUGGACACCUUGACUGGGUUCUCUAUGCAGAAUCUCACAAGGCAAAAAUCAAGGUGUGAGCCACCAGGCUGGGGAAGAAUUCCUUUGCAUUCAGCUUGUUGGCAGAAUCCAGUUGGCAGAAUCCUAGCUGGCUGUCGUCCAAGAGUUAUUCUCCGCCCCUAGAGGCUGAGUGCAUUCCUUCCCAUGUGGACCCUCCAUCUUACACAGCCACAGCAUGUCCAGUCGACUGCUUCCCAUCUCUUUGACCUGCCCUUCCAGUACAGCCAGAGAAAAUGCUCUGCUUUUAAGGCAUUCAUGUAUUUAGAGUAAACCCAACCAUAAAAUUCUCCCUUUUGCUAUAGAAAGUAAAACAAUCUUGGGAGUGACAUCUUUUCAUAGUGACAGGCUGACCAACACUCAACAAGGAGGGGAAUACACAUGACAGAGGGUCACUGAGGGUCGUAACACCCCACCUCCAACAAUCCUCUUCCAGGCCUCGCCCAUGAAAAUCUCCCAUCCCCUUUGUUCCAAUAUACUCAGUCCCUUUGGCGACCCUCAAAUCACGUUCUGACCUCUAGUCAUCCUAGAUCCCUGAAGCAGAUAGGAAAUAAGAAUGAGACAGGCUUUGAGCAACACA